rnacentral:rRNA from 1 species
UUGUAGUCUGCAACCCGACUACAUGAAGCUGGAAUCGCUAGUAAUCGCAAAUCAGAAUGUUGCGGUGAAUACGUUCCCGGGUCUUGUACACACCGCCCGUCACACCAUGGGAGUCGGAUAUGCCCGAAGCCAGUGACCUAACCGUAAGGAAGGAGCUGUCGAAGGUGGAGCCGAUAACUGGGGUGAAGUCGUAACAAGGUAAC